CCAUUUUCUAUUGUUCUUGAAUCAAUUUCAUGUUCGAAAGAAACCCAUUUUCAUUUUUCUUCACAAUUUCCUUUUCGUGCUUGUUAGGGGUUUUAUUUUCUACAAACUUUAUCAGCAAAUUGCUAGAAGAACAUUUAACAUCUUUGAAGAUUUCCAACCUUCAGAUCGUUGGUGGUGGUGGAGGUUGUGUGGACUGAACUGGUGUUGAUGACUGGAUGCUUGGGAGGGAAUCAAUGAGUUCG